GACGAACGCUGGCGGCGUGCUUAACACAUGCAAGUCGAACGGAAAGGCCCUGCUUUUGUGGGGUGCUCGAGUGGCGAACGGGUGAGUAACACGUGAGUAACCUGCCCUUGACUUUGGGAUAACUUCACGAGACUGGGGCUAAUAUCGCAUAUGAGCUCCUGCUGCGUGUUGGUGGUUGGUAAGUUUCGGCUGUAGGGGAUGGACUCGCGGCUUAUCAGCUGCUUUGUGGGGUAGUUGCGUACCAGGGCUUUGACGGGUAGCCGGCCUGAGAGGGGGACCGGCCACAUUGGGACUGAGAUACGGCCCAGAAUCGUACGGGAGGCAGCAGUGGGGAAUAUUGCACAAUGGGCGGAAGCCUGAUGCAGAAACGCUGCGUGCGGGAUGACGGCCUUCGGGUUGUAAACCGAUUUCGCAUGUGACGAAGAGUGAGUGACGGUAAUGGGUAAAGAAGCACCGGCUAACUACGUG
rnacentral:rRNA from 1 species